UCGUCAGCUCGUGUCGUGAGAUGUUGGGUUAAAGUCCCGCAACGAGCGCAACCCUAUCUUUAAUUGCCAUCAUUCAGUUGGGCACUUUAGAGAGACUGCCGGUGUUAAGCCGGAGGAAGGUGGGAUGACGUCAAGUCCUCAUGGCCUUUAUGUCUAGGGCUACACACGUGCUACAAUGGGUGGUACAAAGAGCAGCUAACUCGCGAGAGUAUGCAAAUCUCAAAAAGCCAUCCUCAGUUCGGAUUGGAGUCUGCAACUCGACUCCAUGAAGUUGGAAUCGCUAGUAAUCGCGGAUCAGCAUGCCGCGGUGAAUACGUUCCCGGGCCUU
rnacentral:rRNA from 1 species